rnacentral:piRNA from 1 species
UCUCGGAACUUAUCCUGCCGUGCUGAGU